GCCUCCUGCCCCCUACAGACCCCGUACCUCUCCAGUCUGCCAUGAGUCCUCUUUGAUGUCACCCUAUCCCCCCCCCAACCUUAGGUUAAGAGACUUCCUGCCUUUGCCCGUGCUGGCCAUUCCUGGGCCACACUUGUCAGAACCUCCCAGGAGCCAUCACCUCUGUGACAGCCGAGUGCUGCUGGAGACUGUGUCCCCACGGCUCUGGUUGCCCUCCCCAUCCUUCCUCUGCCGUGAGCACCCAGUCCCUGAAGUCAGGGCGGACCUAGUGACACUGGGAUCCCCAGGACUCAGCUUAGAGCCUGGUGACAGAGAUUGGUUCCCUACCCCUGCCUGGCGCCUGGUAGCACCUCCUUCCAUGCUGCUGGUCCACUAUGGUUUGGGCAUGCAUGCCCCUCACAGGCUCACAUAUUUGUUUAUGGAGCCUCAGCUGGUGGCAUUGCCUUUGGAACCUGUGCAACCUGAUGAGGCCUAGCUGUCAGAGAUGUGAGCAAGCUGCUGUGACCGCAGCUGCAACCCAUGUCCUCUGCUAUGUCUUCCCCACCAUGACAAACUGUAUCCCUUCUAAUU